rnacentral:rRNA from 1 species
AGCGAACGCUGGCGGCAGGCUUAACACAUGCAAGUCGAGCGCCCCGCAAGGGGAGCGGCAGACGGGAGAGUAACACGUGGGAACAUACCUUUUGGUUCGGAACAACUGAGGGAAACUUCAGCUAAUACCGGAUAAGCCCUUACGGGGAAAGAUUUAUCGCCGAAAGAUUGGCCCGCGUCUGAUUAGCUAGUUGGUGAGGUAACGGCUCACCAAGGCGACGAUCAGUAGCUGGUCUGAGAGGAUGAUCAGCCUCACUGGGACUGAGACACGGCCCAGACUCCUACGGGAGGCAGCAGUGGGGAAUAUUGGAAAAUGGGGGCAACCCUGAGCCAGCCAUGCCGCGUGAGUGAUGAAGGCCUUAGGGUUGUAAAGCUCUUUUGACCGGGAAGAUAAUGACGGUACCGGGAGAAUAAGCCCCGGCUAACUUCGUG